rnacentral:tRNA from 1 species
GUCCGCGUAGCUCAGUUGGUUAGAGCGCCGCUCCUACAAAGCGGAUGUCCUGGGUUCGAGCCCUAGCGUGGACACCA